ACACGAGCCAAGUGCAACAAUGC
rnacentral:miRNA from 10 species